rnacentral:lncRNA from 1 species
AUGACACUGCAGCAAGGUUUUACUGGGGGUGAGCCAAUGGUGACGUUAAGUAAUGAACCGAGCAAGUCAGCGCACACACCUAAUUUAAGUGCAUCCUUAGGGCACUUUCCACUGGAAGGGCUUGGUGUUGGGUUUGGGUUUGGGUUCGGGUUUGGGCGCUUUGGUUUAGGAUUAGGAGAGGGGCAACCACCUCCACAAGCAGUGGCUAGGGAAAAGAAGAGAAGGUUGAAUGCAAGAAAGAGAGCAAGAGAUGUGGUUCUUUUGGGAGCCAUUUCUCUCAAACGCUAAUGGCUUUCUUUGAAUUUAGUAGUUACAGUGCCUUCUA